UACGUAGGGUGCAAGCGUUGUCCGGAAUUAUUGGGCGUAAAGAGCUCGUAGGCGGUUUGUCGCGUCUGCUGUGAAAACUCGGGGCUUAACCCCGGGCCUGCAGUGGGUACGGGCAGACUAGAGUGCGGUAGGGGAGACUGGAAUUCCCGGUGUAGAGGUGAAAUUCGUAGAUAUCGGGAGGAACACCGGUGGCGAAGGCGGCGAUCUGGGUAGAUACUGACGCUGAGGUGCGAAAGCGUGGGGAGCAAACAGG
rnacentral:rRNA from 1 species